rnacentral:rRNA from 1 species
AACGAACGCUGGCGGCAUGCCUAACACAUGCAAGUCGAACGGGAUCCUGGCUUCGGCCAGGUGAGAGUGGCGGACGGGUGAGUAACGCGUGGGAACCUGCCCAUUGGUCUGGGAUAACUGCGGGAAACUGCAGCUAAUACCGGAUGUACCCGAGAGGGGAAAGAUUUAUCGCCGAUGGAGGGGCCCGCGUCAGAUUAGGUAGUUGGUGAGGUAACGGCUCACCAAGCCUACGAUCUGUAGCUGGUCUGAGAGGAUGAUCAGCCACACUGGGACUGAGAUACGGCCCAGACUCCUACGGGAGGCAGCAGUGGGGAAUAUUGGACAAUGGGGGCAACCCUGAUCCAGCAAUGCCGCGUGAGUGAUGAAGGCCUUAGGGUUGUAAAGCUCUUUUACCAGGACGAUGAUGACGGUACCUGGAGAAUAAGCCCCGGCUAACUUCGUGCCAGCAGCC